ensembl:lncRNA
CGAAGGCGUAAGUUUCCUGGCGCCUUGUGCGAGAAAGGGCAAGAAGAAAGUGAGUUCCGCCUCUUUCUUGGGCGACUGGGUACUUCCGUUGACAAAAGGUGACGUGAGUUCCUUUCAGCGUUUAGACGCUAGAACUACCACCGAGCCAGACUCGGGUAGACGCAGUAUUAAAGCCAAAGGACACUUAGGAAAACUAGAAGGUCUUCAUGUAUGUAAAGGACUUCCCCUGGUGGCUCAGGUGGUAGAGCAUCUGCCUACAAGUGGGAGACCCGGGUUUGAUUCCUGGGUCGGGAAGAUCCUCUGGCAAAGGAAAUGGCAACCCACUCCAGUACUCCUGCCUGGAAAAUCCCAUGGAUGGAGGAGCGUGGGAUUGGAAUGAAAACUGACCUUUUCCAGUCCCAUGGCCACUGCUGAGUUUUCCCAAUUUGCUGGCAUAUUGAGUGCAGCACUUACACAGCAUCAUCUUUUAGGAUUUGAAAUAGCUCAACUGGAAUUCCAUCACCUCCACUAGCUUUGUUCAUAGUGAUGCUUCCUAAGGCCUACUUGACUUCACAUUCCAGGAUUUCUGGCUCUAGUCACGCAGAUAUGAGAGUUGGACCAUAGAGAAAGCUAACCAAAGAAGUAAUGCCUUCAAACUGUGAUGCUGGAGAAGACUCUUUAACAGUCUUUUGGACAGCAAGGAGAUCAAAGCAGUCAGUGCUAAAGGAAAUCAAUCCUGAAGAAUCAUUGGAAGAACUUAUGUUGAAGCUCCAAUACGUCAGCCACCUGAUUCAAAGAGCUUAUUCAUUGGAGAAGACCCUGAUGUUGAGAAAGAUUGAAGGCAAAGGAGAAGGGGGCGGCAGAGGAUGAGAUGGUUAGAUAGCAUCACCAACUCAGAGUACAUGAAUUUGAGCAAACUCCAAUAGAUAGUGGAGAACAGAGGAGCCUGGCAUGCUGCAG